rnacentral:rRNA from 1 species
UGGGGAAUCUUGGACAAUGGGCGCAAGCCUGAUCCAGCCAUGCCGCGUGGAUGAUGAAGGCCUUAGGGUUGUAAAAUCCUUUCGCCGAGGACGAUAAUGACGGUACUCGGAGAAGAAGCUCCGGCUAACCUCGUGCCAGCAGCCGCGGUAAUACGAAGGGGGCUAGCGUUGUUCGGAUUUACUGGGCGUAAAGCGCGUGUAGGCGGGUCGUUAAGUUGGGGGUGAAAUCCCGAGGCUCAACCUCGGAACUGCCUUCAAAACUGGCGACCUGGACCUAAGUAGAGGCAAGUGGAAUUGCGAGUGUAGCGGUGAAAUGCGUAGAUAUCAAGAGGAACACCUGAGGUGAAGACGGGUUGCUGGGCUGACACUGACGCUGAGGCGCGAAAGCCAGGGGAGCAAACGGGAUUAGAUACCCGUGUAGUCCCUGAGCGGGCUGGCAAGGCGCAU